rnacentral:rRNA from 1 species
UWGWWWWUAGGGGUUCUAUCUCCSGMCCYCUUUUCCCCGCUCGAGCGGWWWMMAGGUGUGAUGWAUAUCUUUWGGGUGAACCCUUAGAGUUUGAUCCUGGCUCAGAACGAACGCUGGCGGCGUGCUUAACACAUGCAAGUCGAACGUGAUCCACAGCUUGCUCUGGUGAAAGUGGCGCACGGGUGAGUAACGCGUGGAUAACCUGCCCUGGUAUCUGGGAUAACAUCUCGAAAGGGGUGCUAAUACCGGAUAAGCCUACGGACUCCUCGGAGUCUGCAGGAAAAGGAGGCCUCUAUUUAUAAGCUUCCGUAUCAUGAUGGGUCCGCGUACCAUUAGCUAGUUGGUGGGGUAAUGGCCUACCAAGGCGACGAUGGUUAGCUGGUCUGAGAGGAUGAUCAGCCMCACUGGAACUGARACACGGUCCARACUCCUACGGGAGGCAGCAGUGGGGAAUUUUGCGCAAUGGGGGAAACCCUGACGCAGCAACGCCGCGUGAGUGAUGAAGGCUUUCGGGUCKUAWAGCUCUGWCAGAGGGGAAGAAAUGGGUCGUGCUAAUAUCACGGYUUCUUGACGGUACCCUCAAAGGAAGCACCGGCUAAYU